rnacentral:rRNA from 1 species
UACGGAGGGUGCAAGCGUUAUCCGGAUUCACUGGGUUUAAAGGGUGUGUAGGCGGCGCGCUAAGUCGGGUGUGAAAUUUCGGAGCUUAACUCCGAAACUGCAUUCGAUACUGGCGUGCUUGAGGACUGGAGAGGAGACUGGAAUUCAUGGUGUAGCAGUGAAAUGCGUAGAGAUCAUGAGGAAGACCAGUGGCGAAGGCGGGUCUCUGGACAGUUCCUGACACUGAGACACGAAGGCCAGGGGAGCAAACGGG